rnacentral:rRNA from 1 species
GUCCUUUAGAAUUUAAUUAUAGGUCUAACCUGCCCACUGAAUUUUAAAUGGCCGCAGUAAUUUGACUGUGCAAAGGUAGCAUAAUCAUUAGUUUUUUAAUUAAAAGCUUGUAUGAAAGGUUGGACGAAGUAAAAUCUGUCUCUAUAUAAUUUAAAUUAGAAUUUAACUUUUAAGUUAAAAGGCUUAAAUUUAAUUAAAAGACGAGAAGACCCUAUAGAUCUUUAUAAUUUAUUUAUUAGAUUUGAUUAGGAAUAUUUUUAAUUUUAUUAAUAUAAUUAUUUUAUUGGGGUAAUAUAAAGAUUAAAAUAAUUCUUUUUUUUUAUUUACAUUAAUUUAUGAUUUUAAUGAUCCAGUUUUAUUGAUUAUAAGAUUAAGUUACCUUAGGGAUAACAGCGUAAUUUUUUUUGAGAGUUCUUAUCGAUAAAAAAGUUUGCGACCUCGAUGUUGGAUUAAAGAUUAUUUCAGGUGUAGAAGUUUGAAAAUUUUGGUCUGUUCGACCAUUAAAUCUUUACA